rnacentral:rRNA from 1 species
UACGUAGGGACCGAGCGUUGUCCGGAUUCAUUGGGCGUAAAGAGCUCGUAGGCGGCUGUUCAAGUCGAACGUGAAAACUCGGAGCUCAACUCCGAGCCUGCGUUCGAUACUGGACGGCUAGAGUCUGGUAGGGGGAUCUGGAAUUCCUGGUGUAGCGGUGGAAUGCGCAGAUAUCAGGAGGAACACCGGUGGCGAAGGCGGGUCUCUGGGCAACAACUGACGCUGAGGAGCGAAAGCGUGGGGAGCGAACAGG